AUCUUUGAGAGUUCAUGGUAACAAAAAUAAUUAUAGGAGUUAUAUACACAAACCAGGUUGUUCAAGUAUUUAAACAAAUAUUUGAUUAUCUCAUUAGCUCUAAAGCAAGUAUUUCCAACUAAUAACUGAAAAAAAAAUCUUAUUUGGAAAAGCACUUUUUUUUUGUAAGAAAGUGGGAUUUACGUUGGAAUAAAACACUGAGAAAAUGUCGAUUUUCUGAAACUAAAUACAAUUUGAAACCUGCUAUGUAAUGUUUUUAGAAUAUGACUUAUAAUUCAUUUAACCUCUACAUGGAUAUAAGGAAUUGGCUAGUCUCAAAGUUCUUCCACAGAAACACCUUUUUUUUCCUUCCUGUAGCCUCAUGAGGAUAUUCUCUAAUCUCUUGAAAUGAAAUAAUUUUGUGUUUUAAAGCUGUGAUCUCUGUUUUAAGAAAUGCAGUCACUUUUUAAGCUGAUAAUUUAUCUGCUUUUCCAAUGGAGCAUCUGGCCAAAGACUUCAGGAUAAUAAGCAAGACUUGCUCACAAAUAAACAACAAAAAUCAACGCCCUCUGUUACAGAAAGAAGAGCAAAAUAAUCUCAGUUAGAAAAUCAAGAGGUGGAAAACUGCCUGUGAUCAGAGGGAAUUGACUCACCACCUGAUUCACUUCUCCCUCAUGGAGACAGACUUUGGUUAGAAACAGCGAAGUGCAUCCGAAAUCUGGUUUGUGUGCAGUCAGGCUGAUGCCAACACAGAUUUAUAGAAUCACUUAUCCCUCAACCUUUGACCUGGGUGUGUGACCUCUGAGUCUCCUAAGGCCCCAGACUCAGAAGAAUCUUGUGCUUGUGCUUGUUUCAGAUAGUACUAUUGCUAUCUUGAAAUUCUUAACAAUUUUUGGACAAGGAACCUUGCUUUUCAUUUUGCACUGGGCCCUACCCUAUGUAGCCACGAUCCACAAGGCUGUUCCUGCCUCGGAUGCUGCUAAACAUGUCUAGCAAUCUCUAGGUGAAAACUGCAGAUUGCCAGCUCCCCAAACACUCUCGACUCUUCACAUUCAGGACUGGUUUUCUUCGUUUCAUCAGGUGGGAAUCCCCUAAUUUUCAAUAUGUUUCUAAAAAGUCACCUGCAUCCUUUCUUGUCUGUUCCUCUGAUAAAAGGUAUCCCUCUCAUCUAUGGAAGUCCCAUCCUGUGCUACCUUCUCCAGAACCUGUUCCAGCAAUUAUUCUCCCCUAGGUCUUCAGCCUUUCUCUCUUCAUUGGUUCCUUUUCCGAAAUCUGUGACCAAUGCUUUAUGAGCAGCCCUCUCUCUAGGCACUGAAAAUGGGUUUAACUCCCAGACAACUUCUAAAGUGUCCAUCUGUCCAGUGGAAACAAAUCCUUGUUGGGCCCAAAGAUGAGGGUAUAGCUACUCCUCAGCUCUGGCUGAAUGUUGACGCUGGAGGCCAAAUGUGUUUCUGUCUUCCAGCUCUGCUCUUUACCUGCUAUGUGGCCCGGAGAAAGUUACCUAACUUCUAUAUGCCACCUUUUUCUUAUGAAAAAUGAAGACAAUAAUAAUACUUACUUCAAAGGGCUGUUUGGAGAAUAAAAUUAAAUAUGCUUAGAAUCAUUUGUGGCCUACAGUAAGCACUAUCUAAAUGUUUCUAAUUAUUGCCCUUUCUUCCUUCAGCUCCACUCUCCUGCCUCUUCUUUCACAUAAGGGAAGUGCAGUGAUGUGCAGGGUAAACAGAAUACUAUUCUGCUUGUCAAAGAAAUUAUUAGAUAUUUGGGAAUCAGUGGAAAAGACAGGCAUGUGUCUUUUUGAUAUUGGGCCUGUCGUGUUCAGCUGUGGUCUUUAGUUGUCAAAUCUGGGAAACAGGAAAGAUAGCAUUUAGCAUCCUGCAUCCUCCUCUUAUAACUUAAUACUAAGUGAAAACUAAAACGUUUUGUUAAUAAAGCCUUAACAUGUCAGUCUGUAGCAUCUUCUUCAGAGAGGUGUUUGGGAAUUGCUUUAUUUGUGUAUCACCAAAAGGAUAGCUCUGUCCUCUCGCCCUACCAAAAAAGAGGCCUAUGAAGGUAAUGAAUUCUUAGCAUCAAAACUUGAAAAUGUCAGCAUCUUCCAAAUUCCUGUUCCACCAGCAAAAAAAGUUCAGAUUCAUUGGAUAUGUUGUUAAAGUAGUACUUAUUUAUUUUAUUUUUUGAGAAACAUCUUGUUCCCUGGGUGAAAUCUUCUGAAACAUUGUCUGGCACAGUGGUAAGGUGAUCAAAAUCGAUCCAGUAGCCGAAGCCAGAAAGCUAGAGCAUAUCUGAAUUCUACAUGCAUCCCUGAACAUCACCACUUUAUCAUCCAUUCUAUCACCACGUGGUUUUUACCCCUAAGCUGUAACAUCUAAACCUUCUCCUAAUUCUAGUUUAAAAACUUUCCUAUCUUAGUGGCUCUCAACUUUAGAAGUACUUUAGAAUCUUUCUGAACCUAAAAAUAUGUAUUUAAAGAUUUCCAGACUCACCCCAACAGAUGAGUUAAAUUCUGAAUCCUUAAGUUGGCAAACAAAAUCCUUCAUGAUGCAAUCAAAGCCUUCCUGUCCAUUUUCAGCCUCAUUAUAUCAUCAAUAACCCCGUAUACUCUUAACAUGAAAACAGUUUCCUUCAGCACCAAGGUUUCAAGUGUCUGGCCCUUUUUAUUUUGUUUCCUCUGCCUAGAAUGCCCAAAGCAUUGGUUCUUAUUUUAGGAGUUACACCUUCUAUAAAUGCAUCUCUUAUUCCCUCAGAUUUUCUCAGGCACGCCUCCCCACAUGCUAUCACUUCUUUGUAUACACAUUUCCAAACCUCUGCUUACGUUGCAUAGCAAGGUCAACACGGAUGAGAAUUGAUGGAUGCUCAGGUUCUGUCUUUCUAUAUGAUUUGCUGCUCCUUAAGAAUUCUUAUUCAUCUCUAAAUGUACCUAGCAUAUAAGGAUACUAAAGGUUUGUUGUUGUUGUUUUUUUAAAAAGAUUUUAUUUAUUUAUUUGACAGAGGGACAAAGAGAGCACAAGCAGGCAGAGUGACAGAGGGAGAGGGAAAGGCAGGCUCCCAAUUGAGCAGGGUGCCCGAUUUGGGGCUUGAUCCCGGACCCUGGGAUCCUGACCUGAGCCAAAGGCAGAUGCUUAACGAAAUGAGCCAUCCAGGCACCCUUGAUACUAAAGUUUUUUUGAAUAAUAAUGUGCAUGGAAUUACAUCAGAGAUAGAGCAUAAAAGAAGAUAAUUUUGGGAAUGCGAAGAAUGACGACGAGUAUCUAGAGCUUCUGGUUUCUUCUUUGGUUCACUGUUCUAGGUUAGCCUGAAACUCAGAGAGCCAAACAGCCCUGUAAGUGUGCACUGAAACUGCACUAGGCAACCGAUGUAAGCCUUCAGUGACUGUCUCAAGUGACCUCAAGGAGGAAUCCAAACCAGAUCAACAGAGGCAUGCAAGCGAUAUUUUUAAACAAUCAGAAAUGAUAGAAACAUAAUGCACUCAGAUGACCUAAGGGUCUCUCUUGUGUCUGUGUAGAAAUCAGUAAUCCUUAAUUUUUAUAACUGUAACAAAUUAUACCUUGUGACAUGCAAAAAUUUGGAGAAUUUCUUAGAAUCACUUACACUCCUUCCCCUUUUUGUAUACAUAAUCUCUUGUAGCUUAGAAGCUUUGGAGUUCUUCAGAGCAACUGAAAUACUGUUUUGUGGGCUAUAGUUUUCAGUAAGACAAUGAAUAAAGCAUUUACUAAUCUAUUUUGAGGUUGGUUUUCUUUCCAUUGACAUAAAGGAUACUUUAACACCAGCUAAGGGGAAUGGUAAACUUGCAGAUGGAGUAAGCUUUAAGAUGGUGUAGCCAGGGCAUGUGGGAUGGCUCAGUUGGUUAAGCUACCGACUUUUUUUUUUUUUUUAAGAUUUUAUUUAUUUGUUCAUGACUGAGAGAGAAAGGCAGGGACAUAGGCAGAGGAAGCAGGCUCCCCACAAGGAGCCCAAUGUGGGACCCGAUCCUGGACCCCAGGAUCAUGCCCUGAGCCAAAGGCAGAUGCUCAACCGCUGAGUCACCCAGAUGUCCUUAAGCUAACGACUCUUGAUUUUGGCUCAGGUUGCAGUCUUGGGGUUAUGGGAUCAAAACUCCUUGUGGGCUCUUUGCAAUGGGGAAUUUGCUGGAGAUUCUCUCUCUUCCUCUGCCCCGCAUCCUGCUUUGUGUCUCUCUCCUAAUGUAAAUAAUUAAAUCUAAAAAAAAAAUGAUGGGGGCACCUGGCUCAGUUGGUUAAGUGGCUGCCUUUGGCUCAGGUCAUGAUCCUGGAGGUCCUAAGAUCCAGCCCCGUUCCUCCCCCUGGUUGUGCUCUCUCUGACUCUCUCUCUGCCAAAUAAAUACAUAAAAAUCUUAAAAAAAAAAAAAAAAAAAAA
rnacentral:lncRNA from 1 species